rnacentral:rRNA from 1 species
GGGGAAUAUUGCGCAAUGGGGGGAACCCUUGCGGAGCAAUACCGGGUGGGUGAAGAAGGUUUUCGGAACGGAAAGCCCUGUUAAUGGGGAAGAAAAAAAAGCGGUACCCCAGAAGAAAGUCCCGGGCAAAUACGGUCCAGCAGCCGCGGUAAUACGUAGGGGACAAGCGUUGUCCGGAUUUACUGGGCGUAAAGGGCACGCAGGCGGUUUUUUAAGUCAGAUGUGAAAGGUACCGGCUCAACCGGUGACAUGCAUUUGAAACUGAAAGACUUGAGUAUUGGAGAGGCAAGUGGAAUUCCUAGUGUAGCGGUGAAAUGCGUAGAUAUUAGGAGGAACACCGGUGGCGAAGGCGGCUUGCUGGACAAAUACUGACGCUGAGGUGCGAAAGCGUGGGGAGCAAACA